CUGGACUUCUGACUAGUAAUCCCAGCUGACUGCUGUUUGUAUAGUAAAAGGCCAGUUCUGCACUGCCUGCCAGAUUGUUUGUGUUAGAGGGAGCCUCAGCAACACUUCUAUAGCCAAGUCAGGUCAACACUUCUGUCUGAAAAGAGAAGCAGAUCUUAGCAGCCUGAGGAUGCAAAAUCAAGUAAUGGCCAUUUCUACAGACAUGAAGAUCUCUGCCCUGCCUCCCCCAGACAUGUGUAUUAUGCCAGGAGAACUAGCAAAGAGAGUGUAAGGAGUUGCAGAGGGAUAAAAACCAUAGGAGGAGGAGAGAAGAUGUGAGCAGAAUGAGGAAUGAGCUAAUCAGCUAACAAAACAAAGGACUGGACAACUGACAAUACAUUUCUAAAAUGACUGAAAUAUGACAAAAAUUUGAAACUUAAAAGAACAAUUAGAAUUUUCCUUAUAUCCUU